GCCUUCGUGGUAUAGUGGUUAGCACGCUCGGCGCGUAUACGAGAGGUCAGUGGUUCGAGUCCCGGCGAGGGCA
rnacentral:tRNA from 1 species